rnacentral:rRNA from 1 species
AGUGAACGCUAGCGGUGCGCCUAACACAUGCAAGUCGAGCGACUCUUCGAGAGGAGCGGCGAACGGCUGCGUAACACGUUGGUACCUACCCCAUACUCAGGAAUAACAUGCCGAAAGGUGUGCUAAUGCCGGAUAGUCCCGCAAGGGUAAAGCUUUCGCGGUAUGGGAGGGGCCUGCGGCCUAUCAGCUUGUUGGUAAGGUAAAGGCUUACCAAGGCUAUGACGGGUAGCUGAUCUGAGAGGAUGAUCAGCCAGAAUGGGACUGAGACACGGCCCAUACUCCUACGGGAGGCAGCAGUGAGGAAUCUUCCGCAAUGGGGGCAACCCUGACGGAGCGACACCGCGUGAAGGAUGACGAUCUUUUCGAUUGUAAACUUCUGUUCUGAGGGACGAAAUUUUUGACGGUACCUCAGGAGAAAGCACCGGCUAAAUCCG